CCAAUACCAACACUCAUUUGACCCAUUACCCAGCUAAGAGAGAUCAGAUUAGGGGACUUCACCCCUAGAAAAUAGAGAUAGCAGCGGCGCUCCUGUCCUCUCUCAAAAAAAGAGGCGCAGCACCUCCCCUUUUGGCUUCUUCUUCAUUUUUUUUCCCAAACCACAACCAAAAGAAGAAGACUCCCCAUCUCAAAAUCACCAAACCAGCCCCAAAUGGCCAUGAAACUGACCAAAAUUCCAGCAAAAAAUAACACCUAAAGACAGCUCCAAAUCCGGAAUCGAAUCCAGAUCUGAGAUUUCUAAAAGGACUCCAAAAACGCGAAAUAAAGAAAAACAUAAAUAAAAAAAAAUUCGAGAUCGAUGGAGUCGUAGAGCUUGGCUUGAAGUUGUUUUCGGAUUUUUCUUCUCUUGGUUCGUUACUGUGUUGCUGCUGUACCUGCCAUAUUUGUGGAUUUUUCUCUUGCUUUGCUGAGUUCAACGUCCACUGUGUUCUAUUUCUUCUAUCCUUCUUAAAGAUGGGAGGAGUGUGACAUCUUUACGGGAAAUUCAACUAUUUUCCAGUCUUGUAGACUCGAUGGUUUUUGACUACCUGUUAUGGAUUCCGGCUGCUCAGAUAAUACACACUAUGGGUUGUUUGUGAUCCCCAAUUAUUACUGAUGCUUGAAGCGGUACCUCUGUUUGCACCUGAAUACAGAUCCCGUGCGUAUCUGCCUCUUAAAGUAGCAGAGGAACAAAGUUGGGUUCCCAGUUCUGAACAGAUAGGAAAUGACCCAUGAUGAACCAUGAUCCACCGUGCAGUGCACUGAUCAUAUUUUCUUCCUUCGCAAAUUUUACUAUAAAGAAGCACUAUCCUAGAUCGAUAAGGAUGAAUUGUUCAGUUGGGGUCCAGAGUUGUUGGAGCUUGGUCCGCAGGAGGUGGUGGGGGAUUUUUCUUCCAAACACCUUGACCCCAGUAUAAUCCCACAAGUCCAAACACCUUAAUGAUGAUUGAGAAUUUCCAUGGUUGGUGAAUUUUGAGUUUUUGCUCCUGCGACAGUGAGACCAUACUAAGGGGAAGGGGAUUUAAAAAUUAUAGAGAUUGAUAGAUAAAAACUAUGGCAUGCAAGAAGGUGAAUUGCAGACAACCUGUUUGAUUAAUCCCAAAAGAGCGGAUGGUUACUCCAGUGAGCCGUGCUAGCUUUUAAUCACGCAAAUGUCCAUUUUUGAGAAGUGGGCCUGUUGUAAUUUCUAUUAGCAAGUGAAAAUAUUUGGGAAACUUACGGUAAGAAUGACAACUAUGGCUCUGGGUAAUGUUUGUUCGCUACAAAUAAAGACUUGUGAGCUCUUUGGAAUUUGUGUAAAUCACUAAUAUACCCUUCCUAUCCAAAAUAAAAGCUUAGAAAUAAAGCCAUUGGUUAUUCAAGCCACAGCUAAAGCUAAUUCUCGAACUGAGAGUGCUAAACU